rnacentral:rRNA from 1 species
CCCGUAUGGGGGCAUGUGCACGCUUUGUUUACACAUCCACUCACACCUGUGCACCCUCCGUAGUUCUAUGGCCUGGAUUGGCUCUGCCCUCCUGGUGUGGUUCUACGUCUUUACACACACACUACAAAAAAGUCUUAUGGAAUGUAUGUCGCGUUUAACGCAAUGAAAUACAACUUUCAGCAACGGAUCUCUUGGCUCUCGCAUCGAUGAAGAACGCAGCGAAAUGCGAUAAGUAAUGUGAAUUGCAGAAUUCAGUGAAUCAUCGAAUCUUUGAACGCACCUUGCGCCCUUUGGCUAUUCCGAAGGGCAUGCCUGUUUGAGUAUCAUGAACACCUCAACUCUCAUGGCUUGCCAUGAUGAGCUUGGACUUUGGGGGUCUUGUUGGCCUGUGAGCCAGCUCCUCUUAAAUGAAUUAGCUUGCCGGUGUUUGGUGGCGUCACAGGUGUGAUAACUAUCUACGCUUGUGGUUUCCCACCAGGUAACCUUCAGCAAUGGAGGUUCGCCGGAGCUUAUAAAUGUCUCUCCUCGGUGAGGACGCAUUUUGACCAUUUGAUCUCAAAUCAGGUAGGACUACCCGCUGAACUUAAGCAUA